UGCAAGUCGAGGGGUAGAGGCCUUCGGGCCUUGAGACCGGCGCACGGGUGCGUAACGCGUAUGCAAUCUGCCUUCCACAGAGGGAUAGCCCAGAGAAAUUUGGAUUAAUACCUCAUAGCAUCAUGACCCGGCAUCGGGAUAUGAUUAAAGUCACAACGGUGGAAGAUGAGCAUGCGUCCCAUUAGCUAGUUGGUAAGGUAACGGCUUACCAAGGCUACGAUGGGUAGGGGUCCUGAGAGGGAGAUCCCCCACACUGGUACUGAGACACGGACCAGACUCCUACGGGAGGCAGCAGUGAGGAAUAUUGGUCAAUGGGCGCAAGCCUGAACCAGCCAUGCCGCGUGCAGGAUGACGGUCCUAUGGAUUGUAAACUGCUUUUGUACGGGAAGAAACCCUCCUACGUGUAGGAGCUUGACGGUACCGUAAGAAUAAGGAUCGGCUAACUCCGUGCCAGCAGCCGCGGUAAUACGGAGGAUCCAAGCGUUAUCCGGAAUCAUUGGGUUUAAAGGGUCUGUAGGCGGUCUUGUAAGUCAGUGGUGAAAGCCCAUCGCUCAACGGUGGAACGGCCAUUGAUACUGCUGGACUUGAAUUAUUGGGAAGCAACUAGAAUAUGUAGUGUAGCGGUGAAAUGCUUAGAGAUUACAUGGAAUACCAAUUGCGAAGGCAGGUUGCUACCAAUGGAUUGACGCUGAUGGACGAAAGCGUGGGUAGCGAACAGGAUUAGAUACCCUGGUAGUCCACGCCGUAAACGAUGGAUACUAGCUGUUGGGCGCAAGUUCAGUGGCUAAGCGAAAGUGAUAAGUAUCCCACCUGGGGAGUACGAACGCAAGUUUGAAACUCAAAGGAAUUGACGGGGGCCCGCACAAGCGGUGGAGCAUGUGGUUUAAUUCGAUGAUACGCGAGGAACCUUACCAAGGCUUAAAUGCAGACUGACCGGUUUGGAAACAGACCUUUCGCAAGACGGUCUA
rnacentral:rRNA from 1 species